GACGAACGCUGGCGGCGUGCCUAAUACAUGCAAGUAGAACGCUGAAGGAGGAGCUUGCUUCUCUGGAUGAGUUGCGAACGGGUGAGUAACGCGUAGGUAACCUGCCUGGUAGCGGGGGAUAACUAUUGGAAACGAUAGCUAAUACCGCAUAAGAGUAGAUGUCGCAUGACAUUUGCUUAAAAGGUGCAAUUGCAUCACUACCAGAUGGACCUGCGUUGUAUUAGCUAGUUGGUGAGGUAACGGCUCACCAAGGCAACGAUACAUAGCCGACCUGAGAGGGUGAUCGGCCACACUGGGACUGAGACACGGCCCAGACUCCUACGGGAGGCAGCAGUAGGGAAUCUUCGGCAAUGGACGGAAGUCUGACCGAGCAACGCCGCGUGAGUGAAGAAGGUUUUCGGAUCGUAAAGCUCUGUUGUAAGAGAAGAACGAGUGUGAGAGUGGAAAGUUCACACUGUGACGGUAUCUCACCAGAAAGGGACGGCUAACUACGUG
rnacentral:rRNA from 1 species